UGGUGUAUGACCAUGCCAAUUCUCUUGGAGU
rnacentral:piRNA from 1 species